UUCCAAAGGAGAUGAUCCCAGUACUUAUAAUCAUCAAUACUUUAACAAUUCAAACCACAUAAACUCUCGAAUUAUUGAUUCAACAACAUCAAUGUUCUUAACAUGAUGAAAAACCCAAACAACCGUAACCAUACAAAAUUUGGUGGGCUCACUUACCCUUGAAGACAGGACCCACAACAAUCACUCUGCUGAAGAAACACCCACUGACUCGUAAUUCUCCCCUAAUCGAUUAUCAAAAAAUAAACUAAAGGGAAAAUUGGUCAAAAGAAAACCCCUUAAACACACUACAACACAAACGAACCCCAACUUAUUCAUCAAUUUCCAUAACCAAAACUUAAAUAAAGUCACAUACUUACCAAAACAAUAGCAAUCGAACUUGCAUAACAAAGAUUUCCCCUUGAAAUUCUUGAACAAGAAAGUAGACGAAGAAAAAACAAAAGAAAAAAAACCCAAAGAAAAAGAACAUGAAAAGAACUGAUUGAUUUUUAGAAGAGAGAGGAAAAAUAAAAGAAAAAGAAAAUAAUCAAAAAGAUUAUCCCAACUCCCCUAUUAUCCCACUAACUAACAAAUCCCCUAAAGCCGACCCACUACUCUUAUCCACUCUCAGAAUUUCAACUCCAUCCAAAUUCCACGACACGACCGAUACAC
rnacentral:lncRNA from 1 species